rnacentral:lncRNA from 13 species
AUGGUUUGGGGUGGGGGACAGAGCUCCCCCCACUCAAGCUGUCUGAGAAAGUACCUCACUCUUGAACAGCCUGGAAGCUCCCACCAUUACAGCACAGGUUGGUACAACACAGCCUGGUAUGGCACAGCACAGAGUGGCACAGCACAGUGGCACAGCCUGGCACGGCAUGGCACAGACUGGUACGGUACAACAGGGCACAGCUGCCUCGUGCAGCACAGCACGGCUCAGUACAGCACAACCCAACACAGCACAAUUUGUCCUGGCCAGGCCCAGCCCAGGCCAGCCCUGUUCAGCUCACACAAGCGGGUCAGUAUGGCCCUCCUGGGCCGGAUGUCCCCGCUGCCCCACACCGCUCACACACGACACAAGUUUCCUGGGGUUCAGCAUCACCACUCCCACAUCCCUGCCCCUCUGCAAGCUCCCUCCCGGGGGGCAGAGACAUGGGACAGAGGUGUCCUCCUACGCCCCAGCCCCGGCACCCCCACACCACCCAGUGCUGGUCCCCACGCACCUCCAUGGUGUCACCCCACACCUUGCCGGGCACAAACCCGUGCCCACCCCUCCCGAGACAUCCCACGGGGUCCGUGGGGACACCCUCCACAGCACAAGCGUCGCUGCCCUCCGACGAACCACCCCGCACCACGCCCCGAUUCCCCGCCACGCCAUCGCGUGGGGUCCGGAAAACAGCACCAGCGCCACCGUGGGACUCCACCGUGGUCCGCGUGGGGGUCCUGUGCCCCCGCGUCCCUGCUCGCGGGACCGCGCUCCGUCCCCCCUCCUCCCGCCGGACCUCAACCCGACGUGCCCCCACCCACUCCGGUGACGGGGGAGCGGGGGGUGGCAGCGCGUCCCCGCUGUUUAGCGACCGGCCGCCCACCCUCGCCCAGUCCCCGUCGGCCGCCGGGACGCUCGGGAGAGCACCGGGAUAGCCCCUCGCCGGCUGCGGCACCGGAGUGCGCGGGGUCAGGGGGGUGGGAGGACGAACCGAGAGGAGGGGAGUCGAGAGAACGAAGGGGACCGCCAGGGGCCUCAGGCGGGACUCGGGAACGGCGGGGGGCGCGGAGCGGGGCGGGCCACCCUACCUGCUGCGCGCUGCUCCGCUGGGCUACGGCCGCGACCAGACGGGACGAGCCGGGACGGGACGGGCAGGCGGGGCGGGGGCAGCCACCGCCCUCCGCGCCCCCCCGCGGCGGCUCCGCGCCCUGCACCCGGGACGGCCGGUGUCCGGGAGUGGGGUGCGCUCCCGCUUGUUGCUCCCCGGGACGGACCCCGCUGGCCCUCGCCCGCCCCGCCCUGGACUUUUUUCCCGACGGCUCUGACGUCACUCAGGGACCCCCUUCCUCACGCGGUGACGUCAUCGGGGGGACACCCCUAGCAGCGGCGGGGGGGGAAUCCCCUCCUCUGGGCGGGUGA